CAGGGAACAAUGCCAUAUUGAGCAAAUCUUUGCAAGUUUCCACUCAUUGUAUAUAUCAGGGAUGGCGAACCACUGACCCACGGGUCACAUAGUGACCCACCACGUUUUAUUCGUGACCCGCCAAGACACAAAUAAAAUACUAACUUAUCAGUGAUAAAAAUUGUCUGGUCUAGUUCGGAAGUGCAUCCAUCUUCAGACUGUUUCACGGGUUAUACGAGAACCAGAUGCUACUUUGCAUUUUAUUAGCUACUCGCUUACAAUGUCGUUGAGAAAACAAAAUCUUUCAGACUUUAAAUAAAAACCUAGAGAUCUGAAAUAACAAUGGAGCAGUGUGAGAGUGUUUUAAAUGUGGUUGAAAGCUGAUCGAAAAAUAUAACUUUAUCAAAGUCGAUUCCCUCCUAACUCUUUGUAACAGUAAAAUAAUUUGCCGUAUCAUCCUGAACGUUGUGGUAAUUCAUAUGCAUGUUUUCGUACUCAUAAUUUCAUAAAAUCGAGUGCCAUAAAAACUCCCUGAUAGAAGUACUGCAUAAGUAAAGCACAAAACUACACCAACAGAAGCUUAUAGGAUUUGUUUCAGAAGUUACCUAUAGAUAAAAACAUAGACAAAUAUUCGUAACCCCAUUUCUCUUCUGUUCCGCGAUAAAAAUAUAAUUUUUGACCCAAUCAUCGGGAAAGGUUUGCCACCCCUAUUAUAAGUCAUCAAUGGUAGAACAGAUAUCAUAUUUCGCAUAGAAACCUAGUUCAUGAAAACGCGCAUCGACUGUCUGCUUACCACUGGACAUCGCCGUUAUUCUGCUAGCCUAACAUUAAGGUACGGUACGUAACUACGAUUGUUGGGCAUUGCUGGACGUCCGUUUUUCGUGUAGGCAUAUAAUAACCAUCGUGGUGUGACCAUACACAAAAGCAAUGGAAGAGCAGUCAAAGAAAUCUGGUGCCGAGCAGAAGAAACUAAUUGUUGCAGUUAUUUUUCUCUUGAUUGUGAUUGGCAUAGUCGUAGCCAUACUUGCGCUCCUUAUGCAAGGAGAUGAAUCGAUUGAUCCAAGAUAUUUCCAAAAAGCAUCAUGUGAAGUUGAAAAUCCAUCACCAAUAGAAACAAAUGCUUGCUUGAGGGUCAAUUGUACGUUUGUUUCAUCGGUUUGUGAUACUUCUUGUCCAUUCGACUAUGAGACUGAUCCUGUAACUAAAUGUCAAAUUAGCUGCGAAUGUGCACCUUCCGGAAUUUAUCAAGGGGAUAUUAAGUUUGUUCCUCAGCAAGUCAAAACCAUGUCUGAAAAGUACGGAUAUGUCGAUGAGGACGAUUUUGAUCUUUUUUAUGGAUCCAGUAAAUCUGAUACUAUAUUAUGGAAAGAAAAUGAAGUUAAUGGAAGAUAUCAGAUUGGAUAUGUUUACGAUUCUACAAUAAAGCCAUCUGUGGCAAAGAACAUAGAAAAAGCUAUGAAGUUGAUGGCAGAAAGUAUAUGUAUUGAUUUUGUGCCUCAUACAAAUCAAGAACAUUACAUUGAGUUUGACACUGCUGAUGGAUGUUCGUCUAAUGUUGGAUUAGUUAAAGACUCAGAGACCCCGCAGAAAGUUUCAAUUGGUCAUGGAUGUGAUGAUUCGAGAACUGUUCAUCAUGAGCUCAAGCAUUUGCUUGGAUUUGGGCAUGAACAUUGUAGAGCUGAUAGAGAUGCGUAUAUUACAGUGAAAUUGGAAAAUGUUAAAGAGGGUAUGGAAAACAACUUUGUUAAAAUAAAAAAAGAAAAUGCUGUAAUAAGUGGAGUACCUUAUGACAUCACAUCAGUGAUGCAAUACGAAAGUGGAUAUUUUAUGAAAACCCUCGGAAGAUAUACAGUGGUGGAAUAUGGAACGGAAUUACCACUCAUUCUAGAUAUGGGGAUAAGAUAUACCGAAUAUGAUGCAUUUGAAAUUAACCAACUUUAUGGCUGCCUGGAUCCUGUAACAACCGCAACAUGGACUGAAUGGGGUGAUUGGUCACCUUGUGAUGCAACUUGUGAAAAAGGAGAAAAAUAUAAAUAUAGAAGAUGUGAAAAUGCUGAAGGAAAGCAUGUCAUUGGAUGUCCUGGAGAACCACUUAUGAUUGAACCUUGUUCUAUACGAACAUCUUGUCCACCAAAUGAUGUCUGGAAAGAAUGGGGAGAGUGGGGUGAAUGUGAAGUCUCAGAAUUCCAAAGCUUUCGAAUGAGGACACGAGCAUGUGCUUCAUUUGACGGAUGUACUCAAGGGAUUGGAAUUAAUGUAGAAGAUUGUCCUAUGGAAAUUGAGUCUACUAAUACUUGGGGACCCUGGAGUGAAUGCUCUAGUACUUGUAAUGGACAAAGAGCAAGACAAAAACUGUGUAAUGGUGAACCUUGUCCUGGUGGAAUACCGUACUAUAGCUUUUGUAAUACUGAUUGCGGAGUUCUACCUCCAGCCGAGCACGCAAUAUGGAGUCAGUGGACGGAAUGUUCUGAAACCUGUGAUGGUAUACACAGCAGGCAAAGAUUGUGUGGAGAAACGUUUUGUGAGGCGUCGUCUCCUGUGAAAGAAGAAUGCAAUGUAGGAAGAUGUGGGUAUAGCGAUUGGAUGUGGAUGACUUGGACAGAGUGCUCUGCCACCUGUGAAGGAACCCAAACUAGGCGUAAAGUAUGCGACAGGGGGAGGAGAUGUUCAGACGAUGAAGAGUCAAAAGAAUGUAAUUCUAAUCCAUGCUCGGCAACUGCAGGUUCAUCAUAUUCAUCAACAUUGUACACAACAACAACACCUGGGUCAUAUUCAUCAGCAUUGUACACAACGACAACAACACCUGGAUCAAAUCCAUCAAUGUUGUACACAACGACGACAACACCUGGAUCAUAUCCAUCAAUAUUGUACACAACAACAACCCCGGGAUCAUAUUUAUCAACAUUAUACACAACAUUGACAACAACAACCGCACCUGAAAAUGCAGGAGAUUGGGGGCUUUGGUCAAGUUGUUCAGCUACUUGUGAUGGCACGAGGGUCAGAUACGAGUUUGUUUGAUGUAAAAGAAGACAGUGUACCAAACCUAUGUGGUGGGGCAGGUAGUCAGUGGUAUUUUGGUGAUUUUAAUGGGGAUAGAAGAACUGACGCAGCUUGUAUUGAAUUAGACGGAAAUGUUGCAAUUGGACAUACAACAACUUCUGGUUUAAUGACUAAACUACAUUGGAAAAGUCGAAUUUCUCCUUGUGCCAGUGCGGAUAUUUACUUGGGAGACGUUAAUGGGGAUG